rnacentral:rRNA from 1 species
CCUACGGGAGGCAGCAGUGAGGAAUAUUGGUCAAUGGACGAGAGUCUGAACCAGCCAUGUCGCGUGCAGGAUGACUGCCCUAUGGGUUGUAAACUUCUUUUGUAUGGGAAUAAAAUGUUCCACGUGUAGGCUUUUGUAUGUACCAUAUGAAUAAUGAUCGGCUAACUCCGUGCCAGCAGCCGCGGUAAUACGGAGGAUCCGAGCGUUAGCCGGCUUUAUUGGGUUUAAAGGGAGCGUAGGUGGAUUGUUAAGUCAGUUGGGAAAGUUUGAGGCUCAACCGGAAAAUUGCAGUUGAUACUGGCAGUCUUGAGUACAGUAGAGGUGGGCGGAAGUCGUGGUGUAGCGGUGAAAUGCUUAGAUAUCACGAAGAACUCCGAUUGCGAAGGCAGCUCACUGGACUGCAACUGACACUGAGGCUCGAAAGUGUGGGUAUCGAACAGGAUUAGAUACCCUUGUAGUC